rnacentral:rRNA from 1 species
UGGGGAAUCUUGCGCAAUGGGCGAAAGCCUGACGCAGCGACGCCGCGUGAGGGAAGAAGGCCUUCGGGUUGUAAACCUCUUUCAGGAGGGACGAAGCCACUCGGGUUAAUAGCCCAGAGGGUGACGGUACCUCCAGAAGAAGCCCCGGCUAACUACGUGCCAGCAGCCGCGGUAAUACGUAGGGGGCAAGGCGUUGUCCGGAUUUAUUGGGCGUAAAGAGCGUGUAGGCGGCUUGGGCAAGUCCGCUGUGAAAACUCGAGGCUCAACCUCGAGACGUCGGUGGAAACUGCCUGGCUAGAGUCCGGAAGAGGAGAGUGGAAUUCCUGGUGUAGCGGUGGAAUGCGCAGAUAUCAGGAGGAACACCUAUGGCGAAGGCAGCUCUCUGGGACGGUACUGACGCUGAGACGCGAAAGCGUGGGGAGCAAACAGGAUUAGAUACCCUGGUAGUCCACGCCGUAAACGAUGGGUGCUAGGUGUGGGCGGUGUCGACUCCGUCCGUGCCGAAGCUAACGCAUUAAGCACCC